rnacentral:rRNA from 1 species
UAGGGAAUCUUCCACAAUGGACGCAAGUCUGAUGGAGCAACGCCGCGUGAGUGAAGAAGGUUUUCGGACCGUAAAGCUCUGUUGUUGGUGAAGAAGGAUAGAGGUAGUAACUGGCCUUUAUUUGACGGUAAUCAACCAGAAAGUCACGGCUAACUACGUGCCAGCAGCCGCGGUAAUACGUAGGUGGCAAGCGUUGUCCGGAUUUAUUGGGCGUAAAGCGAGCGCAGGCGGAAGAAUAAGUCUGAUGUGAAAGCCCUCGGCUUAACCGAGGAAUUGCAUCGGAAACUGUUUUCUUGAGUGCAGAAGAGGAGAGUAGAACUCCAUGUGUAGCGGUGGAAUGCGUAGAUAUAUGGAAGAAUACCAGUGGCGAAGGCGGCUCUCUGGUCUGCAACUGACGCUGAGGCUCGAAAGCAUGGUAGCGAACAGGAUUAGAUACCCUUGGUAGUCCAUGCCGUAAACGAUGAGUGCUAAGUGUUGGGAGGCUUCCGCCUCUCAGUGCUGCAGCUAACGCAUUAAGCACUCCGCCUGGGGGAGUACGACCGCAAGG